rnacentral:rRNA from 1 species
CAGGACGAACGCUGGCGGCGUGCCUAACACAUGCAAGUCGAACGGAGUUAAUGAUUCGGUUGUCAACUUAGUGGCGAACGGGUGAGUAACGCGUGAACAACCUGACCCAAAGAGGGGGAUAGCAUUUGGAAACAGAUGCUAAUACCGCAUAAGACCACAACGUCACAUGGCGAAGGGGUCAAAGGAGCAAUCCGCUUUGGGAGGGUUCGCGUCCCAUUAGGUAGAUGGCGGGGUAACGGCCCACCAUGCCAACGAUGGGUAGCCGAGCUGAGAGGCUGAUCGGCCACACUGGAACUGAGACACGGUCCAGACUCCUACGGGAGGCAGCAGUGGGGAAUAUUGGGCAAUGGGCGCAAGCCCUGACCCAGCAACGCCGCGUGAGGGAAGAAGGUUUUCGGAUUGUAAACCUCUGUCGCAGAAGACGAAGGAAGUGACGGUAUUCUGUGAGGAAGCCCCGGCUAACUACGUGCCAGCAGCCGC